rnacentral:lncRNA from 13 species
AUGUAUGGCCAGAUGCUGUGGCUCACGCCUGUAAUUCCGGCAUUGUGGGAGGCAGAGGAGCGCUGUACUCGGGAUCCCGACCACCGCUGCGGCUGCUUCCUUGAAGCCUUUGCUGCCUUUUCCCUGGAAUCGCUGAAGAGGCCCACUGAGGACUGCCCUCCACAGCCACCACGGACACAAAAGCCUUGUCAGGGCUGCAGGCGGGCCUGCACUGGGAGGCACGCUCCACUCCCGGCGGGCCUGCACUGGGGACACACGCCGGGAACCGGAGCGGACAACAUGGAUGCGAGGCGCUGGGGCGGUCCCGCGGAGAAGAGGUGGGGGCAGGCGCGAGAAGUCAACGGGGUGGAAAGUCUCAGCCUCGCACGCACUCACUGCAGUGGGAUGAGAGCCAAUACUCUCCCGUAGCGCCGCGCAGCGCCGCAAGGCGUGGGUGUCUGCACCACUCGGUUUUGUCUUAAAACUUACUGGAACUCCGCUUUUCACGCAGUCACCAGCAGUCCUCCGUCCGAGCCUGCGCGAGUUUUCCGCCUGUAUUUCAGUUGAAUUUCUCUGUGCCGUUUAUUUUCCAUUCCGUGUCCUUUAGCUCCAUCUCACACGUUCCGUCGCUUCGUGUGAUCUGUCCAUGCCUGUGGCCUCAUCUGUAAACAACCUUCCCAGAAUGGUUAGGUUCCUCUGAGGGAAGCCCAGGGCCACACCUGCAGACAACUUGCUGUGUGGUGGACGUUGUAGUUAUCGCCGUCACUAUUGACCUUCCGGUGCACACCUUGGACCAAGCAUUUCCAACCCGAGCCUUCUUGCACGUUUUAAUCGUUCAUCUGUCAUUCCGUAGCAUACCCCGGUGGCUGGCUGUAUUUGAUUCGCCGGGACUUUGCAGGCAGGCCCUAAUAAUUACCAGCAAGACCACUUACUUCUCACCCUAAUAUUCCAAACGUAGACGUGGAAUACACCGGUUGAAGUUGAUCGGCAAUGGAUUUAAAAAUCUGGCUGGUCUGGAAGUGGUGGCUCACACCGGUUAAUCCCAGCACUUCGGGAAGCCAAGGCGGGCGGAUCACAAGGUCAAGAGAUGGAGAUCAUCCUGGCUAACAUGGUGAAACCCCGUCUCUACUAAAAAUACAAAAAUUAGCUUGGCGUGGUGGCUCGUACCUGUAGUCUCAGCCACUCGAGUGGCUGAGGCAGGAGAAUCGCUUGAACUCGGGAGGCGGAGGUUGCAGUGAGCCGAGAUCGUGCAGCUGUACUCCAGCCUGGCGAUAGAGCGAGACUUUAUCUCAAAAAAAAAAAAAAAAGGAAAAAGAAUCUGUCUGGUCUGUAAGUGUAGUAUAAAAAUUUGUGAACAUUUAUACAUAUAGAAUCUGUAGUAAAAAAAAAAACCUUUUUGAAGCCGGGUGUGGUGGCUCACGCCUGUACUCCCAGCACUUUGGGAGGCCAAGGCGGGUGGAUCACGAGAUCAGGAGCUGAAGACCAACAUGACCAAAAUGGUGAAACCCUGUCUCUACUAAAAAAAAAAAAAAAAAAAAAAAAGCUGGGCACGGUGGUGGGCUCCUGUAUGCUACUCCGUAGGAUGAGGCAGAAUUGCUUGAACCUGGGAGUCCGAGGUUGCAGCGCCACUUCACUCCAGCCUGGCGACAGAGCGAGACUCCGUCUCAAAAAACGAAAUAGAUGAAAUAGUAAAUAAAUAAAUGAAAUUAGAAAAAUAGGAAAAAAAC